AUUGUCCAUGAGAGACAUCUGUUUAACAGUAGCUUGAACCACAAAAGACCUUAGUAUAGGGCACAACACAACA